rnacentral:tRNA from 1 species
GGAAAAGUCGCUAAAGGUAAAGUAAGAUAUUUGCUAAAUAUUGUGUAUAAUCACCUGGAUGUUCGAAUCAUUCCUUUUCCG